rnacentral:rRNA from 1 species
GGGCCCGCACAAGCGGUGGAGUAUGUGGUUUAAUUCGAUGCAACGCGAAGAACCUUACCAGGGUUUGACAUCCUGCGAAUCUCUUGGAAACAGGAGAGUGCCUUCGGGAACGCAGUGACAGGUGGUGCAUGGCUGUCGUCAGCUCGUGUCGUGAGAUGUUGGGUUAAGUCCGGCAACGAGCGCAACCCCUGUCUUUAGUUGCCAUCAUUUAGUUGGGAACUCUAAAGAGACUGCCGGUGAUAAGCCGGAGGAAGGUGGGGACGACGUCAAGUCCUCAUGGCCCUUACGGGAUGGGCUACACACGUGCUACAAUGGCAGUGACAAUGGGUUAAUCCCCAAAAGCUGUCUCAGUUCGGAUUGGGGUCUGCAACUCGACCCCAUGAAGUCGGAAUCGCUAGUAAUCG